ensembl:lncRNA MKLN1-AS MKLN1 antisense RNA
GCCCCCCAAGCCCUCCUCAACCUCAACCCCCAAAUCCCAAGCGCAGAACCGCUGGGCUUCCGGUUCUCCUGUGCGCGCCCCGGAUCCGCCACACACCUCGCCCCUUCUCCCUGGGCUCGCUCUCCGGACCCUAACCCCUUCCCGAGCGAGGCCGAGCAACGCUCUCAGCAGCUGAACUAAGACUCCGGAGGCCGCACGUCCCCCUCAGCAGGCCCCGCCUGGGCCUCUCGGCUCGGCUGCCCUCCAUUGCACCCCUGGCCCAACCGUGCUGACGCGGAAGGGUGGGGCAGCACGAGCUCAAGGCCCGGCACUUACUCGGGAAGGUAGGUGGAGGAAAAGGAGCUCCACUUGUGUAGCGCGUAGGGGAGAAGCCGGCACUCGGGCGCCGCAGCGACAGCUCCGCCAGCCGCCAUCUUGUCAGCACCGUAGCGGCCGCCACCGACCGCUGGCAGCGAACGGGAGGAGGGGAGGGGGCGUGGCCUGCUCUUAAAGGGGCCGCCGCCCUCCCCGGCCGCCCGCGCUCCCCGCCCCGCAUCGUUACCCGAGCCCAGCGCCGGGCCAAUGUCCUAUCUCAGGGUUUCCCACGUCGCUCGCUCCUUGACGGCUGACCGACACUGGGUCUGAGGUGUAAGCGCUUUCCAGGCCCUUCCCUGGGGCUUGGAGGGGAAUGGCGCAAAGGACUUUUCUUACAAGCAGAGGUAAGGAAAAGCCGAGAUGAUUACGAACAGAAACACGUUGUAGUUAUGGAGCAGGAAGGGAAAAUAAGAAGACCAAGUUGGAAAAGGGACGCCUGUGCGCUUUUGGAAGCCACCGCCCUCGCCAGUUUAUAAGUCCUUUACGGAAACAACACUGAAGGGAGCUGGAGGGCAGUAGCUAAUGUGCUGUCCUCCUGGAGUGGUCCUGGUUUUAAAUGUCUUGUCCCCGCCUUCCAGAGUCAGAUGGAGACAGGAAAAGGAAAUGGUCCCGUGUCCUCCUACCCUGUUUGGUUUGCAGUCUGUGAUGCCCUUCAUUGUAAACAUUUCUUGUGAGCCGCAUCCUACUAAUCUUGUGGCAUUGGUUUGCUCGGGAAUGACGUUCACCCACAGACCUGAAAAGUCCUUACAGAGUUGGGAAGCUGCGUGUCAUCAUUUUUUCAGUUGGCAAAUCUGCCCACUUUGAACUGACAUAAUUGUAGCCUAAAAGUUCAGAGAGAGAGUAGUUCAGGAAAAAGACUAUUCCUUCUUCUUAGAGGGAACAGCAGCCCUGAAAACUAUGUGGACAUCAUACCAGCUUCUUACAACAAAAGGUGCACUUGGUCUAAAUUAUCUGGCAGCUCUAGAUAACGUUCUCAUCAAGUACCUGUUUGUUGUAGUUAUGCAUAUUUAUUCCUUGGCUUAGCCACUGCAGUUACCAAAGAGUAUGUCGCUUAUUGUCUAAGAGGUUGGACUCCUGAAAGCCUGGACAGUGUCAUCAUCUUCACCUGAAGAGUGGAAAAAUUCAAGCAAAGAGUUUCUCAGGAAAUGACCAAGUAAAACAUCUGGAGUAAGUCAGCAGGAUUCACAGUGACUCCCCCCAACCAGCUGGUGGUGUUUCUCUCUGAAAGCAGCGCUUGGUACCAGUGUGAACUCUCUUCCUUCAGAAGUCUCAUCAGGUGGACGUAAUACGAGGGUCUGGUCCCCCAUACCUUGAGGACUCCGCUGCCAUCUGACAAUUACAGACAAUCCAAUUGUCCUCAUCCUUGAGGACUCUGCUGCCAUCUGACAAUUAGAGACAGUCCAAAACAUGCCACACUUUGAUCCUAAACACAUUCCUGGCUUUGGUCACUUUUGAAAAGUUCCUGAGUUAUGAGAAAUCAAUAAUAAGAGUGUUCAAAACCUGAACACUCUUUUUAGAAAUACCUGCUGGAACUACAUAUAUGAUUUAUGGGGUACUGUCUUGUAGUAUCUGGGAAAGUAGACCCAUCUAACCUGGAAUGAUCAUAGGCAACAAUGACCAAAAAUGGGGAUCUUUUGAUAUACCUAAAGUAAUUUAUUUGUGCACACCAUUGGAAAGAGCUGGUUUUAGAACCAGACAUGUAAAUAAGAGACUGACUUCCACUGGCACCUAAAAACUUCUAAAAGAAAUCCUGAAAGAAAAAGUCACCUUCAUUCAAGAGGUAAACAAAGGGAUAUUUGAAACUAUGUUAAAAGACUUCAGAGGCUUUCUCCCUUUCACCUCCAGACCCUCCUUUUCCUUCCAGCCCUGUGAUCUGAACUCAUCCCUUUCUGCCGCUUCUCUUGGCUUCCAUACAUCUCUUAGGCAGAGAUGUUUUAAAAUUUCACAAUGUACACAUUUCCUUCUCUCAGGGGAAAUGAAUUUAAAUUUAGAGCAGAAGGAACAAGCAGAACAACAACAGAAUGGGAAUAAGACUGCUGAGACUAUAAAAAUGCAGAUCCAACAAAAUUUUUUCUCACCAGGUCUAGUGAAUGACACUGUGAUAUGGUCUGGCUCUGUGUUCCCAACAAAAUGUCAUCUCGAAUUGUAAUCCCCACGUGUCGGGGGAGAAGCCUGGUGGGAGAUGAUUGGAUCAUGGAGGCAGUUUCCCCCAUGCUGUUUUCAUGAUAGGGAGGGAGUUCUUACGAGAUGUGAUGGUUUAAAAGUGUUUGGCAGUGGCCGGGCGCGGUGGCUCACGCCUGUAAUCCCAGCACUUUGGGAGGCCGAGGCGGGUGGAUCAUGAGGUCAGGAGAUCGAGACCAUCCUGGCUAACAAGGUGAAACCCCGUCUCUACUAAAAAUACAAAAAAUUAGCCGGGCGCGGUGGCGGGC